rnacentral:rRNA from 1 species
GGUGGCUUCGGCUACCACUUACAGAUGGACCCGCGGCGCAUUAGCUAGUUGGUGAGGUAACGGCUCACCAAGGCAACGAUGCGUAGCCGACCUGAGAGGGUGACGGCCACACUGGGACUGAGACCGGCCCAGACUCUACGGGAGGCAGCAGUAGGGAAUCUUCCGCAAUGGACGAAAGUCUGACGGAGCAACGCCGCGUGAGUGAUGAAGGUUUUCGGAUCGUAAAGCUCUGUUGUUAGGGAAGAACAAGUACCGUUCGAAAGGGCGGUACCUUGACGGUACCUAACCAGAAAGCCACGGCUAACUACGUGCCAGCAGCCGCGGUAAUACGUAGGUGGCAAGCGUUGUCCGGAAUUAUUGGGCGUAAAGGGCUCGCAGGCGGUUUCUUAAGUCUGAUGUGAAAGCCCCCGGCUCAACCGGGGAGGGUCAUUGGAAACUGGGGAACUUGAGUGCAGAAGAGGAGAGUGGAAUUCCACGUGUAGCGGUGAAAUGCGUAGAGAUGUGGAGGAACACCAGUGGCGAAGGCGACUCUCUGGUCUGUAACUGACGCUGAGGAGCGAAAGCGUGGGGAGCGAACAGGAUUAGAUACCCUGGUAGUCCACGCCGUAAACGAUGAGUGCUAAGUGUUAGGGGGUUUCCGCCCCUUAGUGCUGCAGCUAACGCAUUAAGCACUCCGCCUGGGGAGUACGGUCGCAAGACUGAAACUCAAAGGAAUUGACGGGGGCCCGCACAAGCGGUGGAGCAUGUGGUUUAAUUCGAAGCAACGCGAAGAACCUUACCAGGUCUUGACAUCCUCUGACAAUCCUAGAGAUAGGACGUCCCCUUCGGGGGCAGAGUGACAGGUGGUGCAUGGUGUC